rnacentral:lncRNA from 1 species
CGAAGCACAACUCUGAUCUCUUAUUUUUUUUAUAAAAGUAUUUUUUAAGAUAAAUCUAUUCAUAUAAUUUUUAUAUUUGCAAACUCAACAAUUUAAAAGUUAUUGAUAAUUUAUGUUUUUAAUGUUUGACUUAAAUCUUGUUCAAAAUAACUUCUAAAUUCUAUACAGAGGAAGUACGUAGUGAUAGUACAGAAUGAAACUUAGAUUCCGACGAAAUAAAUUUCCUAAGCAUAUAUACUAUGUCUAUCAACCUAGCUGCCCCC